UGUCAUUUGAGAUCUGUUUGCUCACGGAGUCUUUUCUCUGCUGUGCAGUUAGGUCCCUCCCACAGGCAAACAGUCUUCCCAAACCUGCUGUGAUGUGGGUCACUCAUCCACAGGGUGCAGUCUUCUAAGGAGCUGCUCUAGCCUGGGAGCAAGGGCUCUCUGUCUCUGUCUCUGUCUCUGUCUCUGUCUCUGUCUCUGUCUCUGUCUCUGUCUCUGUCUCUGUCUCUGGCAGCAGGGGCACGCUCUCUCCAUUCGGGCUCCCACUGGAUCACAGCUUGCUCUGGCAUCCACCCGCUCCAGCGUGAGCACUUUUCCCAUGGGCUGCAAGUGGAUCUCUGCAUUCCCUGUGGACUUCAUACAUUUCAGGGGCCCAGCUUGUUCAUCGUAGCCCUCACUGUGGCUUGCAGAGGAAUCUCAGCUCCAACGCUUGGAGAACCUCCUCCCCCUCUUUCUUUUCCACUGACCUUGGAGCGGCCAUGUUGUUUUUCCCUCACAUUUCCUCACUUCCUCCUCUUCUCUGACUAGAAGAAAAAUUGGUGCUGAUAACAGAACUGAGGUCUGCAGUUACACACAUGUGGAAGUACUCUUAUACAAGAAAAAUUACUGAAAUUUGCAACCAGAUGCUAUCCCAACAUUACCUGAAAUUGCACAACACCACCACAAAAUCCAGAACAGCUGUGUCGAAAAACUCAUGACAAGUUUGUUGUUGGUAGAGGAACAGAUUUUCUUCAUGCUGUGUGAGAAUCAUUGCUGUUUGCUGUGCAAGCACAGAGAUACUGCUAUAUACAUGCAAAGCAGAACAGAUUGUGAAAUUUCAGUACUAAUUCAAAGCCAGACUACUUGAUUAGAAAGACAAUAAUGCAGAAAUCAGUACAGAUAAAUAAAGAUAGUAAGAAACUUAAAAA